rnacentral:rRNA from 1 species
UACGGGGGGGGCAAGCGUUGUUCGGAAUUACUGGGCGUAAAGGGCUCGUAGGCGGCCAACUAAGUCAGACGUGAAAUCCCUCGGCUUAACCGGGGAACUGCAUCUGAUACUGGAUGGCUUGAGUUCGGGAGAGGGAUGCGGAAUUCCAGGUGUAGCGGUGAAAUGCGUAGAUAUCUGGAGGAAAACCGGUGGCGAAGGCGGCAUCCUGGACCGACACUGACGCUGAGUGAGCGAAAGCCAGGGGAGCAAACGGG